AACGAACGCUGGCGGCAGGCUUAACACAUGCAAGUCGAACGCCCCGCAAGGGGAGUGGCGCACGGGUGAGUAACGCGUGGGAAUAUGCCCUUCGGUUCGGAAUAACACAGGGAAACUUGUGCUAAUACCGGAUACGAUCUACGGAUGAAAGAUUUAUCGCCGAGGGAGUAGCCCGCGUAGGAUUAGCUAGUUGGUGAGGUAAUGGCUCACCAAGGCGACGAUCCUUAGCUGGUCUGAGAGGAUGAUCAGCCACACUGGGACUGAGACACGGCCCAGACUCCUACGGGAGGCAGCAGUGGGGAAUAUUGGACAAUGGGCGAAAGCCUGAUCCAGCCAUGCCGCGUGAGUGAUGAAGGCCUUAGGGUUGUAAAGCUCUUUCGCCAGGGAAGAUAAUGACGGUACCUGGAAAAGAAGCCUCGGCUAACUCCGUGCCAGCCGCCGCCGUAACAC
rnacentral:rRNA from 1 species